UCGAGAGAAACCAAAAGAGAGAUUUUUAUUUUUCCAUCCGGGAUUGUUCUGUUUACUCACUAUUUUCUUGGUUGGUUUUUUUUUGUUUUUUUUUUUGUUGGUUUCUUUUCUUUUCUCUCUCUUCUUUGUUUAUUGAUGUUCCUGAGAGCAAUGCUGAUUCUGGAUCUGGAGUUUUGUUGACGUUUGGGAGAAUUGUUUCUGCUGUCCAUCGAGAGAGAGAGAGAGAGACACACGGUUGCAGAAACUGGCGAGCCAUCCCAUUUCAUAGAAUCUGGAAGUUGUUCAUCACACUGGUAGGAAAUAUUGUGUAAACCUGUUUUUUACUUUUUGGACACAUUUUUUGUUAAGCAUCGAAACUCUUUUCACUCAAGGAUCUGAGUAUUUUUGUUUCCACGUUGGACAUUUAUUUCAAAGGACUAAGCAUUUGCUUUGGACUGAUACCUUUUCAUCUGGUUAUUUACCUGUGCAUUUUUGUUGUUUACUUUCUGUUGAGUUUUCUGAAAGAGUGUAAAACAUUGUUGGUUAUUUUAAGAGUGAAACUUUGAAUUUACAUUUUCAAGAGUGUGAAGUUGUAUCAAACCAAAGAGUUAUAUAUAUUAUAUCAUAAUCUCAUUAAACUAUAGAUAAAUAAGUAUAAAAUAAAUAUAGAUAUAUAAUUAAUAUAAUCAAAUAAUAGAUAAACAUAUUAAGAGGUAUUUAGGAGCUUUACAUAAAGUGAGAGUUAAAGUGACUACUGUAAGUAGUUAUUUCCAUUAAUUGAAAAGUGUUUGGUUCACUUGAGAUUUACCAUUGUCUAUUCAAAUUGUUAUUCUUUUGCUUUUUCAAACAAUCAAAAUCUACAUAAAUACUUACCUUUUCCAGAA